rnacentral:rRNA from 1 species
AGUGAACGCUGGCGGUAGGCCUAACACAUGCAAGUCGAACGGCAGCACAGUAAGAGCUUGCUCUUACGGGUGGCGAGUGGCGGACGGAUGAGGAAUACAUCGGAAUCUACUUUUUCGUGGGGGAUAACGUAGGGAAACUUACGCUAAUACCGCAUACGACCUACGGGUGAAAGCAGGGGAUCUUCGGACCUUGCGCGAUUGAAUGAGCCGAUGUCGGAUUAGCUAGUUGGCGGGGUAAAGGCCCACCAAGGCGACGAUCCGUAGCUGGUCUGAGAGGAUGAUCAGCCACACUGGAACUGAGACACGGUCCAGACUCCUACGGGAGGCAGCAGUGGGGAAUAUUGGACAAUGGGCGCAAGCCUGAUCCAGCCAUACCGCGUGGGUGAAGAAGGCCUUCGGGUUGUAAAGCCCUUUUGUUGGGAAAGAAAAGCAGCAGGUUAAUACCCCGCUGUUCUGACGGUACCCAAAGAAUAAGCACCGGCUAACUUCGU